rnacentral:lncRNA from 1 species
CACAGCAUCAGCUAGGAUUAAAUUGAAAAUUGCGACAAAUUUUGGUGCCAAAUUAAAAAUAAAAAAUAAUUUAAUUGCAAAGUAAUAAAAAGCGGUAGGGCUAAACGCACAAAUAGCCCCUCCAAUGAAAACACGCGGAUCCUGAAGUUGGAGCAGGUCGGGUCGCGGGUCGGUCAUGGGUUAAGAGCCAAAACGACGUCGUUUUUGCAUUAGUGGCUUAAACCCAAAACGACGCCGUUUUGAUGGGGCUAUAUAAGUUAAAAUUCCUUAAAAAAAACUUAUUUUUCCCAUUUCAAAAAAAAAAAAAACUAACCCCUUUCUCUCAAACUCUCUCAAGGCCUUCUCCCUCCGACCAAACUCCGGC